rnacentral:rRNA from 1 species
AGUCGAACGGUAAGGGCCCCAUCGGGGGUACACGAGUGGCGAACCGGGUGAGUAACACGUGGGUGAUCUGCCCUGCACUCUGGGAUAAGCUGGGAAACUGGGUCUAAUACCGGAUAUGAGCUCCUGUCGCAUGGCGGGGGUUGGAAAAGAUUUACUGGUGCAGGAUGGGCCGCGGCCUAUCAGCUUGUUGGUGGGGUAAUGGCCUACCCAAGGCGACGACGGGUAGCCGCCUGAGAGGGCGACCGGCCACACUGGGACUGAGACACGGCCCAGACUCCUACGGGAGGCAGCAGUGGGGAAUAUUGCACAAUGGGCGAAAGCCUGAUGCAGCGACGCCGCGUGAGGGAUGACGGCCUUCGGGUUGUAAACCUCUUUCAGCAGGGACGAAGCGAGAGUGACGGUACCUGCAGAAGAAGCACCGGCCAACUACGUGCCAGCAGCCGCGGUAAUACGUAGGGUGCGAGCGUUGUCCGGAAUUACUGGGCGUAAAGAGCUCGUAGGCGGUUUGUCGCGUCGUCCGUGAAAACUUGGGGCUCAACCCCAAGCUUGCGGGCGAUACGGGCAGACUUGAGUACUGCAGGGGAGACUGGAAUUCCUGGUGUAGCGGUGAAAUGCGCAGAUAUCAGGAGGAACACCGGUGGCGAAGGCGGGUCUCUGGGCAGUAACUGACGCUGAGGAGCGAAAGCGUGGGUAGCGAACAGGAUUAGAUACCCUGGUAGUCCACGCCGUAAACGGUGGGCGAAUAGGUGUGGGUUUCCUUCCACGGGAUCCGU